AUUUGUUCAAGUGGACCAAGGAGUGACACUUCCCUUACCUGAGGGUCUUGUAUACAGAACACCUUAACUCUAGGGAUUCAUUUAUAGGCUGCUUCCCUCUACCCUACAUAUUUCUCUGCCUUCUGCAGUCAAGGCAGCGGUGUUCUAAUACAUGUCUCAGAGAAUUCAAGCUGGAGCUCUGGUUUUGUGAAUUGCACACACCAAAACUGAAGAGGAAUAGCCUUGAUGUUGUUGCUGGCCCAUGGGAUGCAGGUGGGGAUUCCUGUGGCUGCUUUAACAGAUGGCUGAGAACAACUUGCAGUUUAAUUCCCCUCAAGGGCUCCAGGUCCCACCUCCUGGGGACGAUAGGAGCAGCUGACUCAUGGUUCUGCAGCCCAGAUUUCCUCUCCAUGGUGGACUGCACCCUCAAACUGAAAUACAUGUGCUCAAGUGAAGACGCAGCCAAGCUUUACCUCCAGAUACUGCUUCUGUCUUCGGUUUUGAAAUGGAAACACUCCCUGCAUAAGUGAUCUCUCUCUCAUCUGUAAUUCAGAAUUUCUAUCCCUGGAGAGGUGUUUCAAAUUUCUGCUUAGCAUCCUGAAGACUCAUAUGAGGGAAGCAGAACAGUCUAGAAUGCAGCUGAGUGUCCCCCUGGAUCAGGGCUCUGCCUGUUUGCAGUUGUAUCACACACCCACACACUUGUUCAUCAAGUGUGGAGCAGAAUCACUGGCAACCAUAUGAAUUGGCCAUUUUCUGCUGCCAUUCGACUAUGAUCUGCCCCAGCACUGCAGAUUAGAUCACUAAUAGAUCUUACCUGAGAUGGAUGCCCAACACUCCAAGUAUAACUCGAUAAAACCAGACUGCCUUAAAGGGGUUUGAUGAGCAGAAGGAGGACUUCAUAUACAUAACUGUGUGAGUUUAGUAAUGGAUUCUUCAGAAAGACUCUGUGGAAUCCAAGAUGAUGUUAUUACAGCCUGGAAAUGUGCAGAUGGUGGCCUUAUGUGCUCUCAUCCCACCAUGCUAAUGAUAUCUACUAAUUCUAUUGAUAAUUGGAUUUAACCUCUCCACAAUGUUUAUGGGCUUGGAAACAUUAUGUUGUAUAAAAUUAAUGUAGACAAAUGUACCUGUCAAUUUUUUAAGUAUUUUUUUUAAAUAUACUGUACUUAUUCACG
rnacentral:lncRNA from 1 species